rnacentral:rRNA from 1 species
CCUACGGGAGUCAGCAGUGAGGAAUAUUGGUCAAUGGGCUUACGCCUGAACCAGCCAAGUCGCGUGAGGGAAGACUGCCCUAUGGGUUGUCAACCUCUUUUGUCAUGGAGCAACGCCUGCUACGUGUAGCCGGACUGAGAGUACCUUAAGAAAAAGCAUCGGCUAACUCCGUGCCAGCAGCCGCGGUAAUACGGAGGAUUCGAGCGUUAUCCUGAUUUAUUGGGUUUAAAGGGUGCGUAGGCGGAAUGCCAAGUCAGCGGUAAAAUCGCGGGGCUCAACCUCGAUCCGCCGUUGAAACUGGCGGUCGUGAGUGGGCGAGAAGUAUGCGGAAUGCGUGGUGUAGCGGUGAAAUGCAUAGAUAUCACGCAGAACUCCGAUUGCGAAGGCAGCAUACCGGCGCCCAACUGACGCUGAAGCACGAAAGCGUGGGUAUCGAACAGGAUUAGAUACCCGUGUAGUC